GACGGAGGGUGCUAGCGUUGUUCGGAAUUACUGGGCGUAAAGGGCGUGUAGGCGGCCAACUAAGUCCGACGUGAAAUCCCCAGGCUUAACCUGGGAACUGCGUCGGAUACUGGAUGGCUUGAAUCCGGGAGAGGGAUGCGGAAUUCCAGGUGUAGCGGUGAAAUGCGUAGAUAUCUGGAGGAACACCGGUGGCGAAGGCGGCAUCCUGGACCGGCAUUGACGCUAAAGCGCGAAAGCCAGGGGAGCAAACGGG
rnacentral:rRNA from 1 species